GACGGGGGAUGCAAGCGUUAUCCGGAAUGAUUGGGCGUAAAGCGUCCGCAGGUGGCAGUUCAAGUCUGCUGUCAAAGACCGGGGCUUAACUUCGGAAAGGCAGUGGAAACUGAACAGCUAGAGUAUGGUAGGGGCAGAGGGAAUUCCUGGUGUAGCGGUGAAAUGCGUAGAGAUCAGGAAGAACAUCGGUGGCGAAGGCGCUCUGCUGGACCAUAACUGACACUCAGGGACGAAAGCUAGGGGAGCGAACGGG
rnacentral:rRNA from 1 species